rnacentral:rRNA from 1 species
UGAGCAAUCUGCCCAUCUCUUUGGAAUAAGCGUUGGAAACGACGUCUAAUGCCGAAUACGACCUCCUUUCGCAUGAUCGGAGGUGGAAAGCUCCGGCGGAGAAGGAUGAGCUCGCGGCCUAUCAGCUAGUUGGUGUGGGUAAUGGCCCACCAAGGCGACGACGGGUAGCCGGCCUGAGAGGGUGACCCGGCCACACGUGGGACUGAGACACGGCCCAGACCUCCGUACGGGAGCAG